CCACCCUCUCCAGACCUGGGAAACCAGGGGAUGAGCCCACCAUGUGGAAUUCAGAUGGGCCUUCUGGCUACCCCAGGGGCCUCCAGCUCAGCUUCCUGGGUGUGUCAGAGAGGCGUGCCAGGAGCCAGAGCUGAGGAAUGAGGCUGGGCUUACUGCCACCCAGGAGGAGUCCCUCUGGAGAGCCUCAGAAAGUACCUGCAAUGGCAAUACAACAGAAGAGCCUCUAAAUAUCUCCUUUUGGGGAUACGGCAGGAAAGCCAAAGGAAAUGUGAAGAGAUGUCUGAACGCCCAGAGGAAACCAGUGGGCCCUUCCAGGAGUUCUAUUUGCGCAUGAAGUUGCAGAAGCUGACCUGGGUCCUAACUGUAAAAUGCAGAGGAACUCUAUCCAUGAGGAAGCUUUGUGAAGUCGAUUCAUUGCUAAUGUCCCUGUGAGUAUCUAACUUAAAAAGUCCAGUGUAGCCAGGCAUGGUGGUGCACACCUGUAAUCCC
rnacentral:lncRNA from 10 species